GACGAACGCUGGCGGCGUGCUUAACACAUGCAAGUCGAACGGCAAGGCCCUGCAUUCGUGGGUUGCUCGAGUGGCGGACGGGUGAGUAAAACGAGAGUAACAUGCCCUUGACUAUGGGGUAACUCCAGGAAACUGGGGCUAAUACCGGAUAGGAGAUCCUGCUGCGUGGUGGAGGUUGGAGAGAUGCGUCGGUAGGGGGUGGACUCGCGGCUUAUCAGCUUGUUGGUGGGGUAGUGGAAUACCAUGGCUUUGACGGGUAGGCUGCCUGGGAGGGUGACCGGCCACGUUGGGCUUGAGAUGCGGCACAGACCCCUAUGCGACGCAGCAGAGCGGAAUAGUGCACAAUGGGAUGAAGCCUGAUGUGGCAACGCCGCGUGGGGGAUAGGGUCCUGCGGUUUGUAUACCACUUUCGCCUUUGACGAGGCGUGUGUGACGGUAAUGGAUAAAUAAGCACCGGCUAACUACGUG
rnacentral:rRNA from 1 species